rnacentral:tRNA from 1 species
AAGUUUAUAGUAUAAUAAGUACAGGUGAUUUCCAAUCACCUAGUCCAAGCUGGGAAACUUA